CUCAAGGCUGGAGAGGAGAGGUCCGCAUAGGUGGCCGGCCUGUGGUGGGCUACUGAAGAAGAACAUAGGGCAGGAAUCGGCUCCUGGCAGCGGAGGUUGGAAGACUGGGCAAGGAAACAUGGUUUUGGGGCCAGACUCUAAUGCAAAGCUAUGUGGGGUUGGACUGGCUCUGGGGGAAAGCUGUUGGCAGUGCAGGUGGCUGGCGACAAGGAUGGCCUGGCAACAGGAUGGCGACGCAGAAGCCUGAACCCUCAGCAGAGCUGCAGUCCUGGCUGCUCUGAGGGUCAGGACUACUUGGCCUAAGAUCUGAAGAGACCCCAAGGCAGAAGCCAUUUCUUGCCCACCCCAAAUGAUGGUGACGCCAGCUUCCCAUCAGAUCUGGUGAUGAUCUGCCUCAGGUUCAAAAGCAAGCCAAAAGGACACACACACACACACAGCCCUGCAGUGGCUCCUGCUGGUUUCUCCAACCCUGGAUCCGACAGACCAACAGCACAGACUCUUCUCCCCCUGGCCUUGCUAGCCGAGUGUUAGCAAGGAUAACGACACACCCAGGUAUCAGAUGGAAGUCUAGCAACUCAGCACAGGAGGGAGAGGAGAGGUGAUGGGGGGAAGAUGACAUGAACUAGCUUUCAAUAUGGGGAGUGUGUUUUUGUUCUGGAGUGUGUGUUGUAUACAUGUAUGCACGUUUAUGUGAAGGAUAUGUGGACAUACUUGAGUCAGUGUAUGUGGAGGCCAAAGCCUAAUGUUAAAUUCUCACUCUGUGACUCUACUUUGUUUAUUAAAUUGUUAUUUAUUUAAUGUA